AUGACAUACAAACCCAACUCAAAACUCAAGUGUAGAAGUAAAUCUAAAACACAAACAGUAAGAAAACAACAGAACAACGAAAGGGAUUUGGAUUUGAAGCUAGCCGCUCCAUCACCAAAAGCACAUAUCUCUCGACUCAUCAUCGCAUACACCUCCAGAUCCAUAGUCGGGAUGCCACCGCCAAUCGCAUUCGCGAUCGCAACCGCUACACUCGCUCAGCCUCCCUCAUCGUUGACUCAUCCCUCCGACUCAGUAACUUCCUCCGUCGUUUUGUUGGAUUUGUGUUGA